CCCACCGGCCUUCUACUAAACUCAGUCAUUUACUGGAACUCCACAAGAAUGGCGUUGGUUACAACAAGAUCAGAUCCAGUGCAAAACCGGAGAAACUUCUGAAGCUUGAAUUCAUCCAACUCUCUGAUGAACCUUUUCAGAUGAUUUAUCACUUCCUUCUGCUUUGGGGUUAAAUCAGUUGCAAAUUUCAGCAGUUGGCAGACUUUUUUUGAGGUAGGUUGCAAGUCCGAGCACAACUUGUUCAGUGCUUCAAGACUGAUGGAGACACGGUGAAGAGUAACCUCCCUCCAGCAGUCAAUCACAAACAUGGGCUUUUGGAUAAGCUCUUUGUUAUUGUGUGAAAGGUUUCAGCAGAGAUUCUUUUUCUACACCCGUAGCUGUCAAGAACUUCCACAAGAUCAUCUAGGUCCACUUCUGAAAAGUCCUUCAUUGCUUCCAUCAAAACUUCACGUUCUUGGCUGCUCACAAACUGCAGAAAAUGGGCUUUUAGAUCACUAUAGACACAGUUGAAAAGCACCUGCUCGAGGAAAGGAAAUGCAAGUUGGUUUGGGAAGUAGCAACAAUCUUGGUAUCCCUUUAAAAGAAUUCUCCCAACUGCUUUCCACUUUUCUGCAGGAAAAUCACGGCGAAUGAAUGGUACUUUAAUUGAUGUACCAAGGGUGCAUCGGUCAUAGAAUUCCUGCCAGAAGCAGCUGACAAUAUCCCUCAGUAAUCCAGAUCCAACACCUGCUUCUUCUGUACCAUCUGGGAGUAUGCGUUUCACAUUGAGUGAUUUAAGAUUGCAUUUUCAGAGAAUGCUAUGAUCAUAUCAUUCAAUGUGUCAGUGUAGUGCACAGUUAUUAUCAUCACAUCUUGUGGAUCAGGUGGACCAUCAUAGAUAAGUGUGAUGUCUGCAUCUCCCUCCGUGUUGUAUGUGGGGCCAAAAGUAAUUUCUGAAUCAACAGAAAUGUCGAAUGCUGUGUAGAUUUCAUUUGAAUCGACAGAGACCUCUUCAAUUUCAGAGUUGUAGUCACUGGCAUCGUGUGACACAACCAAUACUUCUUUGGACGCUGUGCUGCCAUCAUGGUGGUCGUCCUUUGGCCUUAUUGCAAUGUAAAAGCGCAACAACGUGAGCUUUGCAGCCUCAUACAUAUUGCCGAUGGAUUGGCAGGUUUCAUCAGUUAGGAGGUUUUGUUUGAAAUCCCACACCUCAAACUGAAAGUCCAAUUCAGAUCCUUUAGGAGAAAUUCCAUCGGGGAAAAAUAGUUUCUUUCCUUCCUCGAGAAUUUCUUUCAACCUAGCUUCUGUGGACAUUUGAAGUUUUCUGGUACCCCCUCUCUGCUUCUCCCUCACCGGUUUGGUUAUUUUUCCAUCAUUGUGUAUCCAUCCAAUUGCAACAUUUCUCGUUGUUUUCUGCCUCUUCGUCUGUCUUGCUUGUUGUGUCUUUGAGGAAGUGUCUUCUUUCCCGCUUUCUUUCCUGAUUUUCAUUUUUUCACGUAAUUUUUCCAAAAGUCCAUUUUUUCUUUUGGAUGGGAGCUGUUGAGUC